rnacentral:rRNA from 1 species
AUUGAACGCUGGCGGCAGGCCUAACACAUGCAAGUCGAGCGGAUGAAGGGAGCUUGCUCCUGGAUUCAGCGGCGGACGGGUGAGUAAUGCCUAGGAAUCUGCCUGGUAGUGGGGGAUAACGUCCGGAAACGGGCGCUAAUACCGCAUACGUCCUGAGGGAGAAAGUGGGGGAUCUUCGGACCUCACGCUAUCAGAUGAGCCUAGGUCGGAUUAGCUAGUUGGUGGGGUAAAGGCCUACCAAGGCGACGAUCCGUAACUGGUCUGAGAGGAUGAUCAGUCACACUGGAAAGGAGACAGGGUCCAGCCUCCUCCGGGGGGCACCAGGGGGAAAUUUGGAACAAUGGGGGAAACCUUAAUCCAGCCAUGCCGGGUGGGUAAGGAAGUUUUUCGAAUUGUAAACCAUUUUAAGUUGGGAGGAAGGGAAAUAAGUUAAUACCUUGCUGUUUUGACGUUACCAAAAAAAAAACCCCCGGCAAACUUCGUC